rnacentral:rRNA from 1 species
AACGUAGGACACGAGCGUUAUCCGGAGUUACUGGGCGUAAAGGGCGAGUAGGCGGUGCGAUAAGACUGGUGUGAAAGCCUUCGGCUUAACCGAGGGAGGACACUGGUGACUGUCGGACUGGAGGCAGAUAGAGGGGUGUAGAAUUCCGGGUGUAGUGGUGAAAUGCGCAGAUAUCAGGAAGAACACCGAUGGCGAAAGCAGCUCUCUGGGACGGUACUGACGCUGAGGCGCGAAAGCGUGGGGAGCGAACAGG